UACGGAGGGAGCUAGCGUUGUUCGGAAUUACUGGGCGUAAAGCGCACGUAGGCGGCGAUUCAAGUCAGAGGUGAAAGCCCGGGGCUCAACCCCGGAACUGCCUUUGAAACUAGAUGGCUUGAAUCUUGGAGAGGCGAGUGGAAUUCCGAGUGUAGAGGUGAAAUUCGUAGAUAUUCGGAAGAACACCAGUGGCGAAGGCGACUCGCUGGACAAGUAUUGACGCUGAGGUGCGAAAGCGUGGGGAGCAAACAGG
rnacentral:rRNA from 1 species